GCAGAAUACAAUGUCAAUUGAAAGUGAAGUCGACAGAUAAGAAAGUCAAUUUCAUUACAUCAUGUAGUGCUUGUUUGCCACAGUCACAGUCUGAACUUCAAUGUCAGAUAAUCCGAAUCCAAGUACUGACCUUGGAAAAGAGCAUUAACCUAUCUGCAUUUGCCUUAAAAGAUUUCCAAGAUAAAUGGAAGCACAAAUGGUUGGUAGAGCAUGCAAAGAGCUACAGCUGUGUUCCAGGCAGGCUUUGAUUACAAAGAAAAGUUCACAGAAGAACCCAUUUCGUGACUACUCCUCUGAAUAGCAGCGAGAAUACAUUCAAAGCCUUAAACACCAAUGAAACUGGGACACCUUCUCAUUGCAUCUCAUUUUCCCAAAACUCAAUCUAUAAAGAUUAGUUUUGAGUCUCCAUCCAUAAAGGUUUAUCUUUCAAGUGGAUUCCUUCAGUGAAGGUCUGUAUUUGCCUCUGCAGAACUCCUAGAGCUUUCUCAAUACAUGCUCACUUUACAAUAAGAAUUCUACCUGACAUUUCUGAGCUACAGAACUGGUGUUAAUCCAACACUGUGGAAGAACAGGCUGGAGGUCGGAAGCUGUCAAGAGUGAGCUACUUCUCUCAUGUUCUUUUCCAAGCCACAAAGACAAGGUAUUUAGGGUGAAAACACUCACCCUGUCCCCUUGGUCUGUGUGGCUUUUAUUGGUGUGCUCUGACUACCUUGGAGUGGCUAGUUGUAUCUACUGUCUCUUCAGUCCUAUCUCCCUGCCUGAGCUCACAAGGCCCAGAGAUCUAAGGGAUGUUGCCAGCUGGACCACUGGCUCUACAGUGAUAUCUUUUAUUUUUCUCACUGAGUUUAGUCUCAACUUGCUUCUAGACACACAUUCAUGCGAAACCUCAAAAGUACACUUAGUUUUUAAUCUGUGUUUUUAAUAUUUACUUUGGGGAAGAAUUUCGCUAUAUAUUAUAAAGCAAAGAAUCUUGUAUUCUAUUUAAAAGAGAGCAAAACAGACUUCUUUAAAAAAAUAUGGUAAGGAAGAGGUUUGCUGAGAUUCAAUUUCCCUUAGGUGAUAUUUUCAGCUGUUUAAGCUAAGUGUUUCCUAAAUAGGAGCAUAGCAGUCAUAACUGUCAUUUUCAUAAGAUGAGAUUCUAACAAGUCUUCCAUUGCACAAUUUGCAAUUUUUUUAAUGUCAAAAUACAGCUCUCUUUCCUGUGAUGCUAGACUCACUUUCCCUCUCAACCGUGGCACAGCAUGUGCCUCUUGGUCCUAUCGGUAAAAGACUGUUACUGGAAGACCUUGACACUUCUUGGAUGCUUCUCCAGUCUGAGACCCAAAGGAAGCAACACCCCUGAAACACAGGUGUGAUGAUCAGAGACACAUCAUGAUUUCUCAAGAAGAGUGAGACUCAAAAGCUGAACCAACAUCUACCCAUUCGCUAUUUCUAAAAGAUCCCAAUUAUCCCAUUAGUGAAGAUAUGAUUGGUGACUAGCCCAAUUGUCAUCAGAGAGAAUUCAUCCUGCAACUGAAAGAAACAGAUACUGAAACCCACAGCUAAACAGGAGGCUGAGCUCAGAGAAUCUUCUGGAAGAGAGAUAGAAGAAGGAUUUAUAGGUGCAAGAUUGAAAGCAACCUUGCACAAUUGGUUGGUCAUGUUGUUUUGGAUGAAGGCUGUACCUAAGAAUAGGAGUAUGUAGCAGAAAAGCCCUGUUCAUCUCAUGGCCAGGAAGUGAGAGGGAAGUAAAGAGGCUGGAAUUCUGCCUAUCCCCUUGGAGGGCACCCACAGAGUGACCUAAAUGCAUGCUUUGUAUUAUGCCCCUUCUACUGAUGAUUCUAGUAUUUAUAAACAGUACCACACUGGAGACCAGACCUUGACACAUGACCUUUAAGAGGAUCCAACGUAUAUCUUAUUCAUUGAACCGUUCUAUUAGUCUAUCACGUUUUGAUUCAUGUUCCUCACUGAUCAAUUGAUAACUCAAACUAAUAGCAAGCGAAGAAUUGCUAAGUUCAAAUAAGGGGGAGUGCUGUCAUUGUGUCUCUGACCUGUGACAGGAAGUGGUCUUCUGUGUGCUCUUGCCCAAGAACCUUCUUGAUAUGAUGGUUUUUCUGUAUUGAAAGUUAGUUAGCAAAAUUAUGUUUGUCAAGAAGCAGGUUCCCGGUGCCUACCUUAAAAAGAUGAUCUAUCCAGCCCAACUGGGAACUUUCAUUCUGAUACUUUAUACGAACUCUUCAACAUGACUUGCCCGCAUGAUCAUUUUUCUCAGAGCGCUUGAGUAUGAACCUUGACUUUCCCACUUGCUCGCUGGGUGAUUUGGGGAACAUAAUUAACAUCUCUAUAUCUUAGCUUUUUUAAAAAGGUGAUGUCAUAAUAUAACUAUGAUUUUUAAGAUAAAUUGUUCAUAUACAAAUCUUUCAUAUUAAUCUAUUUACAGCAUAUAUAAAUAUUGCUUGGUUUCAAUGGUGCUUGCAUGUAAUUAACAUCCUACAAUUUUAGCUGGCAUAAUUCUUUUGACAAUUAAAAUGUUUGAGCCACAGUAGAAGAACCAUUUGCUCAUUAGUUUGCUAAUCUCUAUGUUGAAAGCUGGCACUGAUUUCUUAUUUACAAAAUAGAAAAGUCAAGAGCAUAGUGUAUAAUUCAGUGGUAGAGUACUUGGCUUGUGUAGAUGAGGACUUUUGAUUGAUCCUCAGCACCAUAAAAAUAAAGAAGUGCUGGAGAGAUAAACCAGUGGUUAAGACUGUUGUUAUAGCAAAGACCCAGGUUUUCUUCCCAAUGCCCACAUAGUGGCUCACAACCAUCUGUAACUCUAAUUCCAGGAGAUCCAAUGCCCUCUGAGGACACCAAGUAAGCAUGAAGUGCAGAAAGAAGAUAUAAGGAUAAAGCUUCAAGACUCAGCUGAGAAAUCUCUGCUAAACAUGGAACAUUAUUAUGGCCACAUGCUAUACACUUUGGCUAAACGUCUUAGCACUGUGUAGCAGGGGUGCUCUUCCAGAAAGUCUCCCUUAACACUUCGCCCACUGCCAUCUACAUCCACAGAUUUCACUUUUCCUGCUGAACUAAGAGAAGUUCAUGAAUUGCUCUGGGAGUAAGAGAAGCUUUGGAAAUGACAAGAAAAUAACAACAAAACCCAAAACAGAACCAGCAAAGGACCUACGAGGACAAUUCUUAUGGUUGUUUUCACUGGACAAAACGUUUCUCAUAUGAGUGGGGCCUCCUCAGUGAGACCAGAGUCGAUGAUGAGUCGAAAGUAGAUAUGUCAAGAUAACUUUUUGUCUUAGACUUCUUGGACUUGGAGGAUUAAAAAGACAC